AAGCUACUUGGCCGUAAGUUUUAAGCUAAUGCCUAAUGAAAUGAAAACCAAAUUAAAUGCAAUUCACAAAGCCAUGUGCCAUGUGCUGAUGACCGGCCACACCUAGAGAGUUUCUAGAAUGUUUCACUCAAAUAUGCUUUCUACACUACUCUAAUUACUAAGCACCCCUAAUGGGCCUUUAUGCAACAUGUACAAAGCUUUCUCUCUUCCAUCCGUGGCUUCAUUCAAUUGGGCUUGAAUAUGCUUAGCCAUUGACCUUGUGAUAGGUCCUAGAUGGUCUAGGUCUCCUCCUAGACGCUCC
rnacentral:lncRNA from 1 species